UGGACACAGCGUAAAACUUCAAAGUUAGAAAAAAACUGAAUGGCUGCAUCUCAAAUGCGCCCCUUCAACAUCCACAUAUACCUGGCAAAGGUACAUACGUGGUAUUGCUGUACUCAGACGACAUAGCUGGGCAACAUAUGAAGUAUUAUACAGUCAUAGCACACAUAAGGUUUGCAAAAUAUACUGUGCAAAUUCACUUUGUGUGUGAG